UACGUAGGGCGCAAGCGUUGUCCGGAAUUAUUGGGCGUAAAGAGCUCGUAGGCGGUUUGUCGCGUCUGCUGUGAAAACCCGAGGCUCAACCUCGGGCCUGCAGUGGGUACGGGCAGACUAGAGUGCGGUAGGGGAGAUUGGAAUUCCUGGUGUAGCGGUGGAAUGCGUAGAUAUCAGGAGGAACACCGGUAGCGAAGGCGGCAUUCUGGACUGCAACUGACGCUGAGGCGCGAAAGCUAGGGGAGCGAACGGG
rnacentral:rRNA from 1 species